UAGAAAUGAUCUUGAAGACCCCUUGCAUUUCUCAAUCUAUGACCCUAUGAACCUGAUUUACUAGUCAUAGUUUAAUAAUGCAAUUACAUCUCUAAGUAGGUUAAGUGAUGGAAUAUAAUGUGAUAACCAUUUAGUGUUUACUGAAUGUAGAGUUUAAACUCCACAAGUAGGCUUUAUUUUAUGUAUUUUAUUUUUGUUUUAUAUUUUGCAAUUUUCCAUAUUACAUGUAGAAACAAUUUAAUAAUCAUUUUCAAAUUACUAUCUAUAUUUUCUCUCCUUCCUGAGGUUGCAGAUAGUUCAUGUACUAUCAUAUGAUACAUAUAAUCCACUGUUCAUCAUGUUAUAAAAGAAGACAGUCACAGUUUAUACUUGAGAAAAAUCUAUGGAGGAAAUAAAAUAAAGAAUAUGCUUCAAUCUUCAUUCAGACUUCAUUACUUAUUUUUUAUCAUGAAUCUUUGGAAUUUUCCUGGAACUUUGCAUCUACCAGUAGUUUUUAAAGAUAAACUCAUACAUCUGGAAUCCUUCUUGGUCACUCAUCAACUUUCAGCAUGCUCACUUCAAGUCAUCUUUAUCUGACAACCAGAUUCAGAUAUUUACUGGGCAUUUUAGCUUCUUGCUGCCUGGAUUUCUUCAUCUAUCAAAUGAGUUCAUAAUACUAUCAACUCUCAUGUGUUAUGGUGAGAAUAUGAGAAAAUAUUUGUAAAGUGCUUUAUAAACCUUAAAAUACCAUAAGUAAUUUUAGUUAUGUUAGCCAAUGUUACCUUUAAUGAAAGAACAAACUUGAGGGCAAAGAAACAAGGAGUGUAACUUUGGACCACAUUUUGGCCUCUAAUCAAGAGGGUCUUAGUACUCCUCCAUUACAUCCUUGUCUCUCAUCUUUAUUUGGAACCUGUCCAGGCAAGAAGGAUUAAUAAGAAAAAGAAGCUAGGAUUUUUCAUGCCCCUGGAGUCAACUAUGAAAUAGCUGCUCAUGCUCCAAUAUGGAACACUUCCAUUAAAUUCCAUUAUGAACCUCUGUAAUCAUUCUCCCAAACUUCUAUGUGGGUUAUGGAAUUUGUUGAGCUCUCUAUUACACUGCAUAGAUUAAGUGAUCUCAUUUUUUUUAGAUAGUGUUGUACUCUACUUCUGCAAAUAGGCAAGACUUAAUUCAUACCUAUUUUUAAAGAAACUGAAGUUCUUCAUGAAUUCCCAUUUCUUGACUUAAUGAAUGGAUUUAUUUAGAAUUGUAGAAAUUGUACAAACUUAAGUUGUUGCAUUAUACAGUUCUUCAAAUGACAGGUAGCUCCAUAUAACUGUAAAACCUGAAAAUUACAUAAAUCCUUGUGACCACAGCUGAACAUCUCUGUUUAAAGAAUCUUUACAUGUGGGCACACCAGGCUUUUUAAACAGUCUAUUAAAAAACCUGCAUCCACAUUUGCCCCUUAGACUCACCUCACUUUGUAGUUGGUCUUGGGUGGUGGAUACUUCUAGGAUGUUUAUGACACUAUGUUCCUUAUGGAUCUGGACUAUGGAUCUAACAACAUAAAUAAUAUAGCAUAUGCCUCAUUUCUGUAUCUUUUGCUUGAUUAACAAUUUGAUUUAACCUUUUAGUGAUGAAAUAUUUUCUUUGCUGUAAUUCUUACACUAAAGGGAGAUGGGGAACAUAAUGAUCUAAAUAUAAAGGAAUUUUGAAAUCUUGAAGCCUUUCUUCAAUGCCCCAUAUAUUGAACAUGUAUGUGAGGAUACUUUAAGUUGUCACCUAUUCCAAACAUAAUGGUAGUUGUCACCAGGAUAGGCUCUAUUAUUAGAAUCAUCAAAUCAAGGAGACCUCAUGCCUAUCACUUAGAGACUUGACCCCUUUAUAUUUCCUAUCUUCAUGGCAAUUGUCUCAUUUGCCUGAAAAUAAAAUUGAGCCAAGUCAUUUGCA
ensembl:lncRNA